rnacentral:rRNA from 1 species
UACGGGGGGAGCAAGCGUUGUUCGGAUUUACUGGGCGUAAAGGGCGCGUAGGCGGUCAGCACAAGUCAGUUGUGAAAUCUCCGGGCUUAACUCGGAAAGGUCAACUGAUACUGUGCGACUAGAGUGCAGAAGGGGCAACUGGGAAUUCUCGGUGUAGCGGUGAAAUGCGUAGAUAUCGAGAGGAACACCUGCGGCGAAGGCGGGUUGCUGGGCUGACACUGACGCUGAUGCGCGAAAGCCAGGGGAGCAAACGGG